AGGAUGUCGGCUCUUCCUAUCAUUGCGAAGCAGAAUUCGCCAAGCGUUGGAUUGUUCACCCACCAAUAGGGAACGUGAGCUGGGUUUAGACCGUCGUGAGACAGGUUAGUUUUACCCUACUGUGAUAUGUUACCCUACUGUGAUAUGUUGUUGCGAUAGUAAUCCUGCUCAGUACGAGAGGAACCGCAGGUUCAGACAUUUGGUUCAUGUUCUUGGCCGAUCGGCCAAUGGUGCGAAGCUACCAUCUGAGGGAUUAUGACUGAACGCCUCUAAGUCAGAAUCUCACCUAGACAAGGCAACGAUAAAUUUGCUCCCCGAUGUUGGGAGGCACUAUUAUGUAAUAAAUAUUUUAUUACAGUUAAUGCCCCAUUAUAUGGUCUUGCUACUUAAUCGAAUGGUUAAGUGGUUGCCAAAACCGGAGUACUCUGGGACAAUGUCGGGGCGCAAAAUCACUUGCAGACGACUUGAUUACUGGUCAAGGUGUUGUAAGCAGUAGAGCAGCCUCCAUACUGCGAUCUUUUGAGACUUAUCCUUUGAUUGGACGAUUUGU
rnacentral:ncRNA from 1 species